GCCACAAAGUGUCGGGUAUGUGGUGGCUUGUUAUAAGGAACCAGAACACGGAUGUAUCAAGAACAGCCUCAAUGUGUCGGGGCAUGAACUUUACAAGGUCUCCAAAGCAUUCCACAGGGAUGCUGGCCCAUGUUGACUCCAAUGCUUCCCACAGUUGUAUCAAGUUGGCUUGAUGUCCUUUGGGUGGUGGACCAUUCUUGAUAGACACGGGGAACUGGUGAGUGUGAAAAACCCUGCAGUUGUGCAGUUAUUGACACAAACCAGGGCACCUACUACCAUGCCCCGUUCAAAGGCAC
ensembl:lncRNA